GGUCGAGUCGUAUAACGGUUAGUACAGUCGCUUCACAUCCUUCCUCUUGAAAGAUGCGGAGCGCGCGACAGACCCGGGUUCGACUCCCGGCUCGACUA
rnacentral:tRNA from 2 species